CUAGCUCAUUCCUUAAACCCAAUACCCAAUACCCAUUAAGCUAAUCCUAGGGACCCUUCUAGACUUUUUUUGGAACAAUAAAUAAAUAAAAAGACUCUAAGGACCUAAGAGCAACUAGAACAAAAAUAUACAUUUAGACCUAAAUCUAUAUAAUAGGAGUAAUGCCUAAUGCUGGAGGGGACCAAAAAUUAGAAUCCGCCGCUGAACCUAGAGCUAGACCCCUAAAAAUCAACCGCAAAUCUCUUUCUUUUUUCAGAAAAACGGCAGUUUCAUGCCCAAAUUCCACUUUUUUCUGAUUCUUAAACCAUCUUUCCUUUUCCAUUUGAAGACACACACAUAUACAGAAGGAGAUUAAACAAAGGAAAUGGAAGUUUAGCCAUCAAAUAGCUAAAAAUAGCUUUAAACCCAGCUGACUACAAAAUGAAAAACAGUCUUCCCCCUUUGAUUUUUGGGUUCAUCUCCUAUCUCUCAAAAUUCAACUCACACAUAUAAAUACUACACUAGUCAUAACAAAAGGGGAGGGCACAUCGAGUUCUGGUGAAAGUUCGAGGUCGAUAGUGCAUGCCUUUCCGUCGAGGUCUCUAUCGUGAUUCCAUCUUUGGAACAAAUCAUCAGUUAAAAAAUCAAAAGUGAAAGUCUAAUAUUAAGGUUGUUUCCUUUCUCUGUUUAUCAAUUAGUAUCUAGGUUCUACUUUGUUCUUGCUUCAAAAUAUUUUUCUUUGGACAUGUCUCCUCUCACUUAAGUUUGCUUAAAUUUUGUUUGCAUUAAUUUUGUGUCAGUUUUUUUUUUUAUCUUUCUUUUAUAAAAAAAAUGGCACAAUUUAGUUUAUUGUGUUAAUACAUUAGAGGGGCGUCUUUAAUAAAUAUUAAGCAGUAGUAAUUUGAGGCCAAUUUUUGUCAAAAUUAGUGAUUUGAAUUAUGAACUUUUCAUCUAUGUUAUUAAUUUAAAAUCAUUUAAGAGAUCCACAUUGGAAUUAGGAUGUUAAAUAGGUUAACUUUUUACAGGGAUCGUGUGUAAAUAUUUCUGUACAAUAUUUUAUUCCUUAAUUGAUAUUUUAUUGCUUUGUUUUUUUUGUAAUUCCUUAUUUUAUGAGUUAAAUUUAUUUUAAUUUAUUUGACCAGAGUUGAAUAUUAUCCUUUAGGCAUAGAAACUGUAAUAUUUCUAUUAUAUAGAAAUGAGAAGUUGGUCGACCAGGGGUAAAAUUGACAUUUUACUCUAUCAUAAAAGUGCUUUAAUGUAAAUUGACAUUUUACUCUAUCAUAAAAGUGCUUUAAUGUAAAUUGCUCACUGCAGUAUUUUCCAUUCC
rnacentral:lncRNA from 1 species